AAAAUGAGCUAGGAGGAGCUGCGGAGUAGUUUCUUUUGUUGUUUUUGUUUUUCAUUUUGUGGCAUAUCAAACAUUCAAAUGCUGAAGUUGUUGAUUUGGAGUUGGUCUUCUUAUACACCUUGUUACUAACUUAUGUGUGGUAUUGUUCCAUUGGUUUUACUACUGUGAGGAAUAUGUUAUUUUUAUUCGAUUUGUAUGUCAGCUUGUCCAUGUUGCAAAGACUAACUCCAUUUUCUGGUUUUGGUGUGUAUUCCCCAGGUGAAGCUGAGGAGGAAGAAAAGGAAAGGGAACAUCCUACACUGCAAGACAACUGGAUAAAGAGCUUCAGGAAUUGGAUAAACGGCUAGAGCAAAAAGAGACAGUAUGAAUGAAGGCAUAGUUUUUUAAAUCAAAGAGAUUCUUGCUUCAGUUGUGGGUGAUAUAGACUGAAAAAAUUCAGUCUUUUCAUAUCAAAGAGCUAAACUACAUUAUCUUCCCUAGGAACUUCUUUCAAAGCACAACAGUGCUACAAGCCUACAAGAUACUAUGCAACAAUAUGAAUAAUCUAUAUUUGCAGAUAUGUUGAUGUUCAACAUGUAUGAGCAUAUUCUGGAAGCCUGGCUGUUUCUGUUACACUCAUAUUUGAUGCCUAAUUUUGAUCAUUCUUUUCAUAUACUCGAAGUUUUGUGAAAUUCCUUUGGCUGAAGAGUUCUGGGACACAUUAUUUCCUUGUUUACAUUUGUAAUCAUGUCCACAUAAUCUGACAUGACUUCCUCUUUCUCUAUAAUAAAAUAUUGAGGUUCUAUUACUUUUUUUUGUUUUGGUAAUUUCCAAACUUUUUUCUUGAUGUUUAAAUGAUGUUGUUUUUUUUCCGGUUUACAAUUUGUUAAAUUUAAGUGCUAGGCUGGCUUGCUUGACUUUGACAUAUAGGAGUUGCUUCAUUUGUAUGUGUUCAUAUAUACAUCUCUUCAUUUUAUCUACAAUCUAUCAUUCUCUUGCUGUUUUUUUCAUAUUGCUAGUUAUCAAACAAAUGCAUUCCUUAAUAGUAAAAAUUCAGAACUACUUAUUAUGUUAUUUUUUCAUCAUU